rnacentral:ncRNA from 2 species
GGGAAGCCGGUGGGAUUCCGGCACGGUCGCGCCACUGUGCACCGCAUGGACCAUGCGGAAGUCAGACC